rnacentral:rRNA from 1 species
GACGAACGCUGGCGGCGUGCCUAACACAUGCAAGUCGAACGAAAAGGCCCGGCUUUUGUGGGGUUGUCGAUGGGCGAACGGGGGAGUAACACGUGAGUAACCUGUACCUGACUGUGGGGUAACUUCAGGAAACAGGGGCUCAUACCGCAUAUGAUCUCCUGCUUCAUGGUGGGCGUGGGUAAGAUUCGGCGGUUGGGGAUGGACUAGCGGCUUAUGAGCUUGUUUGUCGGGUAGUGGCUUACCAAGGCUUCGAAGGGUAGCCGGCCUGAGCGGGCUACCGGAUACACUGGGCCUGAGCUACGGCACAGACUAGUACGGGAGGCAGCAGUGGGGAAUAGUGCAUAAUGGGCGGGAGGAUGAUGUAGCAAAGCAGCGUGGGGUAAGACGGGAUUCGGGUUGUAAACUGCUUUUCUCUGUGACGAAGCGUUAGUGACGGUAAUGGGUAAAGAAGCACCGGCUAACUACGUG